UUCCUCUUCCCUUCUAAGAGCUUCUUUUGCAAUUCUAUGAGCCAAGCUAUUCUCUGUUCUGUUAAUGAAUUAAAAACCAAUUUCUUGAAAAUACUCCGACUGUCUUUAAAUAUCACUGAUGAUUGCUCCUAUAACUGACUUAUCUUGCGCCUUUGUUUGACAUUUCUUUAUGAUUGUGCGUGAAUCCCCCUUUAUUGUAACUGAGUGUAAUACCAUGGAGAUACCUAGCUUAACCACAUGAAGUAUGACAUAAGCUUCUGCUACAAAAGAAGAUGAGACAUUUGAGUUUAAAACAGUCUUUGUAGUUAGGAGUACUCCCUUCUGAUCCCAAGCCGCCAUACCCGCCAUUGAUUUGAAAUCUCUACUGUUGAAUGCUUCGUCAAAAUGAAUCGUCAUCCUGGGAUUUGUAACUCUUUGAUUGGGGCUUUUGACUGUGUUCAAGAACCACAUUCCAUAACAGAACACUCGGCAUUGUUUGUGAGUGCUCCUCUUGAAAAUCUAGGACAAAACUAAAAGACGUGGGGUACAUCCUCUUCCCCAGAUCUGCAACGAGGGCAUACAUUAUCAUCAGCAACUCGUUUAGAUCUCAGAUUGACUAAAGUAGGCAAAUAGUUCCAGGAAACUCUCCAGAUUGUAACUAUAAUCUUAGAGGGUAGCUGUAGAUUCCAUAGCUAUUUGUAGAAAAUUUUCACAUCGGCCUGUAUUAAUAAAUUAUUAGGAUUCAAGCUAGCAUUUUGUAAUAGUUUGUAGGCGCUCCUGACCAAAAACUCAAUAGACAGCUCUCCCUUCCACACCUAAAAGUCGACACUUGGCUUUUCCGCCAGAGGGACUUGCAAAAUCUUUUGAGCAAUAUCUGCUGAAAAGCCAUCUAUAUCUUUUCCUGGUAUCCGAUGAUUGUCCCAAACUGAGAUUCCAAUUCCCCUUCCUACUCUCCAACCCAACCCUCUUUGUAGCAAAUCUUUUGCAGCCCAGACACUCUUCCAGGUAAGUGAAGGCGUAGAUUCCAAACCACGUUAAUGCUAUGCUAGUUAAGAAAUCCUACAAUUUAGGGUUGCGUCGCCACCAUUCCACUUUCAAUAAGAACAAAGACCAAGAAAAAUAAACGUGCCAGACAGGGCAGACUAGAGACGUGCCAGAGAGGGCAAACUUCGAACUUAUUUAUUGUAUGUUAUUUUUAAAUGCAUACCUAUAUUCUAAAUACAUGGUUUUCACGUAUACGAGUGUGAUAAAUUUUUUAGUAUUUUCUAAAAAAUAUUAUUUCUCUGGGAGAAAGUUGAAUAUUUUUUUGAUA